rnacentral:rRNA from 1 species
AACGAACGCUGGCGGCGUGGAUUAGGCAUGCAAGUCGAACGUGAAAGCGCUUAAGGGGUAACCCGGCGGCGCGAGUAAAGUGGCGAACGGGUGAGUAACGCGUGGGAAACCUGCUCCAGAGUGGGGGAUAACAGUCCUAACGGACUGCUAAUACCGCAUGAUGCCAUGGGUCUUAUGAUUUCAUGGUUAAAGGAGGCCUCUGUUUCAAGCUUUCGCUCCGGAAUGGUCCCGCGUCCAUUAGCUUGUUGGUAGGUAACGGCCUACCAAGGCAACGAUGGGUAGCCGGCCUGAGAGGGUGGUCGGCCACACUGGGACUGAGAUACGGCCCAGACUCCUACGGGAGGCAGCAGUCGAGAGGCUUCGGCAAUGGGGAAACCCUGACCGAGCGACGCCGCGUGGGUGAUGAAGAUCUCGGAUCGUAAAACCCUGUCAGGUGGGAUGAAAUACCAUUCGGUUAACNCCCGAGUGGCUUGACAGUACCACCAGAGGAAGCUCCGGCUAACUCCGUGCCAG